GCUUCCUUGGCUCAGUUGGCUAGAGCGCAGGUCUCAUAUUGAUAUGUAUUCAUUUGAAGAUAUGAAGCUCCUUAUAGAGCUAUAAUCCUGAGGUCGCAAGUUCGAGCCUUGCAGGGAGCA